GUGCUUGCUUCAGCAGCACAUACACUAAAACUGGAAUGAUACAGAGAAGAUUAGCAUGGCCUCAGAGCAAGGAUGACAUGCAAAUUCGUAAAGUGUUCCUUAUUUUU
ensembl:snRNA U6 U6 spliceosomal RNA